GGAUGUGAGGGUGAUCUGGCUGCGGCGCCUGUCACCCCAUUGAUCGCCAGGGUUGAUUUGGCUGAUCUGGCUGAACAGGCGCGUGUCCCCUUCCUCCCUCGCUGCCCCAUAUGCAUUGCUCCCGAAGCUGUACGUUUGUUUUAAGAAGACAAGCAUCCCAGAUAGAGAAGGACUGGUCCCCGGCCGAGGGUAUAUGAGUAGCUGCAGUCCCCUGCUAGAACCUUCAAACAAGCUCUCAAGGUCCAUUUGCAGGAGAACGUAGGGUAGUCAAGCUUCCAAAACUUCAGACACAUCCAAAUGAGGUGCUGCAUGUGGCAGUCUGCCUUUCUGA
rnacentral:snRNA from 1 species